rnacentral:rRNA from 1 species
CCUACGGGAGGCUGCAGUGAGGAAUAUUGGUCAAUGGGCGGAAGCCUGAACCAGCCAAGUAGCGUGCAGGAUGACGGCCCUACGGGUGGUAAACUGCUUUUAUACGGGAAUAACGCGCCUUACGUGUAGGGCUUUGCAUGUACCGUAUGAAUAAGGACCGGCCAAUGCCGUGCGAGGAGGCGCGGUAAUACGUAGGGUCCGGGCGUUAUCCGGAUUUAUGGGGUUUAAAGGGAGCGUAGGCGGCAUGUCAAGCGUGCUGUGAAAUGCCCGGGCUCAACCCGGGCCUUGCAGCGCGAACUGGCGUGCUUGAGUCCGCGGAAAGCAGGCGGAAUUCGUCGUGUAGCGGUGAAAUGCUUAGAUAUGACGAAGAACCCCGAUUGCGAAGGCAGCUUGCUGCAGCGGAACUGACGCUGAUGCUCGAAAGCGCGGGUAGCGAACAGGAUUAGAUACCCUUGUAGUC